GUAGCAGCAGCAGCAGCGUCCAUCGGCCAAGGCCCAGAACUGCAGGCCGCAACCCCCCUUCCUCUGUUUUUUUCCUUCUUCGUCUCUCGCCUCUUGCCGCUGAUGGGUGGAGCCCACUUGUCAUCUUCUUUUCCCGAACGUGUUCAUCCUCAACUCUGUAGCACCCCGGAACUGAAUCAAACCAGAUCGAUCGGUUCGAUCGAUCCCGAGAGCCAUGAGAUAGACCCUCCUCGUAUGAAGGGCCACUGAUCCUUCCUCGACCAAUUUUUGGCCAAAUCUCAAACCUCCGUGCCCUAGAAUCCGCUGCCAGAUCUCGCCGGAGUUGUGCCGCCGCCGAAGCUAUUAGCUGGUUGAUUCCGUCACCUACAGAGAGCACCGGAUCGAGCACACAGAACCGAAGCUCCAGAGCUCCGCCGCCCGAGCUCCAUCUCCGGUCCAUCCUAUCAAGCCCAAGAUGCUCGAAUUCGAGCUCCCCAGCCAACCCGAUCUCGCCGGAGAGUCGUCGGAGAUGCGCCGCCGCCGCCGUCCUCUGCUUUUGGGUGAGCACGCGCGCACAGCAAAGUCGCGGCCAAUUGCCCUGCGCCAGGGCGCGUCUGCUACAGGAGAUACUACAGUGCAGGGGAUUUCUGUUGUCUUUUUUUUUUCAGAUUUCAACUAAAACUUCCUUUGGCUAUAUCUUUUAGUCUACAUAUCCAAAUUAGGUGAUUCUUUUUCCUAUACACUCAUAAUGACCAAAGAGAGCCUUGGCUCAGUGGUUGGGUAUGUGGUUGUGCAACCCAACAAGCCGAGUUCAAUUCCUAGAAUUGACAGGUGAUGCACAAGGGUUUUCCCCUGUUUAUUGAGGAUCAAGGUAGAUGUGUGGUGGAACCACUCAUCAAGAAAUAUCUUGAUACUCAUUUAGAAAAUUCUGAGGACCAUGUUUAUCUUAGUACACAUACUAAAAUGGUCGUAUGUAUCCUUAGUUGGUGCAAAGGUCGGGAAGUGAAAAUCUCCCCAUUUUGAAAGACGGAGGCUCCUCCCGAGUCGC